AUGGCUAAGUACUGGUGGGGCAGCUCCAUCGACAAGCGCUCGCUACACUGGCUCUCGUGGGACAAGCUCGAGGUGCCUAAAGUAAAAGGGGGCAUGGGUUUUCGCAACAUGCAGUCCUUUAACCUCGCUAUGCUUGGGAAACAUGGUUGGCGUCUUCUCACGCGACCGGACUCAUUGUGUGCUAGGGUACUGAAAGCAAAAUACUACCCUCAUACAGACUUUCUCAAUGCAAUGGUUCCAGCCAAAGCAUCGGCAACCUGGAAGGCAAUAGUGGUAGGAAGAGAG
rnacentral:rRNA from 1 species